rnacentral:rRNA from 1 species
CAGUCGCCACGGUAAUCCGGAGGGGGCUAGCGUUAUUCGGAAUUACUGGGCGUAAAGCGCACGUAGGCGGCUUCGCAAGUCAGAGGUGAAAGCCUGGGGCUCAACUCCAGAAUUGCCUUUGAGACUGCGUCGCUCAAAUCCGGGAGAGGUGAGUGGAAUUCCGAGUGUAGAGGUGAAAUUCGUAGAUAUUCGGAAGAACACCAGUGGCGAAGGCGGCUCACUGGACCGGCAUUGACGCUGAGGUGCGAAAGCGUGGGGAGCAAACAGGAUUAGAUACCCCUGUAGUCCCUGUCUCUUAUAA